ACAGGUGGGUGAAGAUUAGUUCCCAUGAUUUGCCUUAGAGAAGAGAAAUUCUAUCUUCUGUGCUAUGGCUUACUUUGAGGAGAAAAAGGAGCAGGUGUAAAAAUGCUGAGGACCAGAGAGAGAUUUUGCUUCCUGGGGUUUGCUUGAGCCCGAUAGGUCCUAACAUUAUAAGAAAAAUCGUCAUUCACCUGCAUCACUCCGAAGCUGUUCUGAAGCUGCUUUAGGAGCUACUGGUACAAGGCUAAAUAUUUGUUGUCCUAAUUAUUUAAAAAAUAACUAUUUCUGGCUACAUUAUGACCCAGCAAGUGUGAACAAAACCAAAAAGUAGAUAUCAUAAUAUUACAACAGAAUAUUAUGAUUAUAUCCUACUUUGAGUACCAAUUUCUGUAUAAGUCAAGAUAGCCUAAGUAAAAAUAAAUAAUAAGCCCCCAGAUCUCAGGGAGUUAUAAUAGGAAAGGUUUAGCUCUCAUUCUGCAGGCUGACUAGAGGUCACUUUCACUUCAGACUCAUUCAGGGACGUGGGGUGAAAAAGAACCUGCCAUUGGGAGUGUCACUUCCUGUGGUAGAAACCAAGACGCAGUAUCAGAACUCUGUUGGAAAAAGUACUUCCUGCUUGGCGGGGGAGUAGAGUCAUUGGACAGCUUCCCAACUGCCAACGGACAGAUUAGCUCACAGCAAGUCAAUGUUCAGAGUUACACGGGCAGGAUGACUUCUCAGACCACCUGAUGUGCAGGCUUCUGGGAAAAUCUCUGCGAAGAAGAGAUAGCCUGGAGUGGGCCAGGUGUCAUUUUUAUAACCAAAGUCACACAGUACUACAGGACAAAGUCAGGAUUUGAAAUAAAAACAGAAAACAAUCUUCUUUUCACUAUGCCACACACUGAGAAGAAAAUUGAAUUGGGCGUAAGCAAAGGGGUGUCAAAACUAGCGUCACAUAACUUCGUAAGGUUAGAAAAUGAGGACAAUACUUCCCCUGACCUGCUGAAUUUGCUGCAAGGAUAGAAUCGAAGGAGAGACGUGCUCUGAAGGUCUGAGCUAGCAGCAAGGCUGCCCUCUGGAGGACCGCUCAACAAGAGCCGCAGGAGGAUUAACAGGAAGAGCUCGGAGCAGAACUCCCUAAAUAUGUGCGAUUGUUUUAUUGUAAGCAGCCAACUCCUGAGUUCGACAGGGAACAACUAACAAUUUAGCUUCCCAGGGGAGGCAGGAGUGGCUGUGUUAUGGUAUAUGAUCUUUUCACUCCUUAGGACAGUUACAAUAUCUAUGUAAAGAACAUGGGUAAAAAAGCGUUGCACCGAACGCUCUGUUUCCAUCAUUAAACUUUAUUUUAACUCUACUCUUUUUCCCAAAAUGUA